rnacentral:rRNA from 1 species
UUGCCUUAGUAACUGCGAGUGAAGCGGCAAAAGCUCAAAUUUGAAAUCUGACGUUCAUUUGGAUGUCCGAGUUGUAAUUUGGAGGAGCGUCUUCGGGAGUGGACACUGUCCUAAGUUCUUUUGGAACUGGACAUCACAGAGGGUGAGAAUCCCGUGCCUGGGCGGUAGUCUAUUUCCAUGCGAAGCGUUUCCGACGAGUCGAGUUGUUUGGGAAUGCAGCUCAAAACGGGUGGUAAAUUUCAUCUAAAGCUAAAUAUAGGCGAGAGACCGAUAGCGCACAAGUAGAGUGAUCGAAAGAUGAAAAGCACUUUGAAAAGAGAGUUAAAAAGUACGUGAAAUUGUUGAAAGGGAAGCGCUUGAGAUUGAACCUGGAGGGAUGGCUGCUUACGGUCACGGUCCUACGGUCCCUGAUCUCUGCAAACGUCAUCUCCACCCCAGGCCACCAUCGGUUCUGGCGGCGUAAGAAACAGCCAGGGAAUGUGGCUCCCCUCGGGGAGUGUUAUAGACCUAGCUAAUUUGCGCCAGCCGGGACCGAGGAAACAGCGAGCUGGGUUUAACCCCAUGUCUCAUGGAUGAGUGGCAUGUUGAUCUUAAGCGACCCGUCUUGAAACACGGACCAAGGAGUCUAACAUCUAUGCGAGUGUUCGGGUGGAAAACCCUUGCGCGUAAUGAAAGUGAACGGAGGUGGGAACUGCAUUUGUGGUGCACCAUCGACCGAUCCUGAUGUCUUCGGAAGGAUUUGAGUAUGAGCAUAGCUGUUGGGACCCGAAAGAUGGUGAACUAUGCCUGAAUAGGGUGAAGCCAGAGGAAACUCUGGUGGAGGCUCGCAGCGGUUCUGACGUGCAAAUCGAUCGUCAAAUUUGGGUAUAGGGGCGAAAGACUAAUCGAACCAUCUAGUAGCUGGUUCCUGCCG